AUGCACGCUGGCGGCGUGCCUAAUACCUGCAAGUCGAGCGAACAGACGAGGAGCUUGCUCCUCUGACGUUAGCGGCGGACGGGUGAGUAACACGUGGAUAACCUACCUAUAAGACUGGGAUAACUUCGGGAAACCGGAGCUAAUACCGGAUAAUAUAUUGAACCGCAUGGUUCAAUAGUGAAAGACGGUUUUGCUGUCACUUAUAGAUGGAUCCGCGCCGCAUUAGCUAGUUGGUAAGGUAACGGCUUACCAAGGCAACGUUGCGUAGCCGACCUGAGAGGGUGAUCGGCCACACUGGAACUGAGACACGGUCCAGACUCCUACGGGAGGCAGCAGUAGGGAAUCUUCCGCAAUGGGCGAAAGCCUGACGGAGCAACGCCGCGUGAGUGAUGAAGGUCUUCGGAUCGUAAAACUCUGUUAUUAGGGAAGAACAAAUGUGUAAGUAACUAUGCACGUCUUGACGGUACCUAAUCAGAAAGCCACGGCUAACUACGUG
rnacentral:rRNA from 1 species